rnacentral:rRNA from 1 species
UACGUAGGGUGCAAGCGUUGUCCGGAAUUAUUGGGCGUAAAGAGCUCGUAGGCGGCUCGUCGCGUCGGCUGUGAAAACCUGGGGGCUCAACCCCGGGCCUGCAGCCGAUACGGGCGAGCUAGAAUUCGGUAGGGGAGAUUGGAAUUCCUGGUGUAGCGGUGAAAUGCGCAGAUAUCAGGAGGAACACCGGUGGCGAAGGCGAGUCUCUGGGCCGAUAUUGACGCUGAGGAGCGAAAGCGUGGGGAGCGAACAGG